rnacentral:rRNA from 1 species
GACGUAGGGCGCGAGCGUUGUCCGGAUUUAUUGGGCGUAAAGAGCUCGUAGGCGGCUUGUCGCGUCGACCGUGAAAACUUGGGGCUCAACCCCAAGCCUGCGGUCGAUACGGGCAGGCUCGAGUUCGGUAGGGGAGACUGGAAUUCCUGGUGUAGCGGUGAAAUGCGCAGAUAUCAGGAGGAGCACCGGUGGCGAAGGCGGGUCUCUGGGCCGAUACUGACGCUGAGGAGCGAAAGCGUGGGGAGCGAACAGG